rnacentral:lncRNA from 1 species
CCAUUGAAAGUUGGGCAGUUGGGCAAGGAAUCCGUCCGGAAAAUUAAGGGUAUUUUGGUCUUUUCCCUAGCCUUUUAUUUUGGUUAUAUAAAUGUGUUAGGCUGAUCAUUUUGAUCAGUUUUACCAUUUUAAAAGGAGUGAGAGUGAGGGUUUUGAGAGAAGAAGAAGAGAAGAAGAGAAGAAGAGGAGAUCAAGCAAGGAGAUCAUCGUGGAUUUUCGUCGGGGGUGAUCCCUACCAAGGUAUGUGAGCUUUUAGUGUUGGGUGAUCCUUUUCCCCACACACCUAGCN